ensembl:misc_RNA 7SK 7SK RNA
GAAUGGGAGGGUGACCUGGCUGUGCCGUGUCGCCCCAUUGAUCCCUUACCUCACCUUGUGUGUCCCUUCGUAAGUUGUGCUCUUGGUCUCAGAGGAGGACCUUCCCUGAUGCAGAAGCACCUUUCUCCCCUCAGCAGUGUAUGAGUAGCUGCACUCCCUUGCUAAAGCCUCUGAAGAAGCUCUCAGGGUCCACGUGUGGGAGAAUGUGGGGGUAGUGAAGCCUCCAAGACCGCAGAUACAUCUAAAUGAGGUGUUGCAUGUGGCAGCCUGCCUUGCCUU